rnacentral:rRNA from 1 species
UUUUUCAAAAACAUCGCUCUUUGUGUGUUAGAAAUAAGGAGUCGUGCCUGCCCGGUGAAUAUUUAAACGGCCGCAGUACCCUGACUGUGCAAAGGUAGCAUAAUCAUUUGCCUUUUAAUUGGAGGCUGGAAUGAAUGGCUUGACGAAGUUCUACUGUCUUUUUUUUAUUAUAUAGAAUUUAAUCUUUAGGUGCAGAGGCCUGAAUAUCAUUGAAAGACGAAAAGACCCUGUCGAACUUUAAAGUAAAGCUAUAAAUUGUUAUUUCUUUAGAAUAGAAAUUUUUUAGUUGAUUUUUUUGUUGGGGUGACAAAAGAACAAAAGAAGCUUCUUUGAUUUUAUUAAACUUAUUGGUUAUAAUGAUCCACGGUGUUUGUGAGAAUGAGAUUAAGUUACCGCAGGGAUAACAGCGUUAUUUUUCUGGAGAGUUCAAAUUGAAGGAAAAGAUUGCGACCUCGAUGUUGGAUUAGAAUACCUAGUAGGUGUAGCAGCUUAUUUAGGGGGUCUGUUCGACCUUUAAUUUUCUACAUGAUCUGAGU